rnacentral:rRNA from 1 species
AUUGAACGCUGGCGGCAUGCUUUACACAUGCAAGUCGAACGGCAGCGCGGGCUUCGGCCUGGCGGCGAGUGGCGAACGGGUGAGUAAUACAUCUGAACGUGCCCAGUAGUGGGGGAUAGCGCGGCGAAAGCCGGAUUAAUACCGCAUCCGACCUGGGGGUGAAAGCGGGGGAUCUUCUGCCCUCGCGCUAUUGGAUGGUCCGGUGGCAGCUUAGCAAGUUGGUGGGGUGAAGGCCUUCCAAGGCGACGAUCUGUAGCUGGUCUGAGAGGACGACAGGCCACACUGGGACAGGAAGACGGCCCAGACUCCUACGGGAGGCAGCAGUAGGGAAUUUUGGGCAAUGGGAGAAAGCAUGAUCCAGCAAUGCGGGGUGGGUGAUGAAGGCCUUGGGGUUGGAAAGCACUUUGGGCGGGAACGAAAAGGACUGUGCCAAUACCACGGUUCGAUGACGGUACCCGCAGAAUAAGCACCGGCUAACUACGUG